rnacentral:lncRNA from 1 species
UGAUAUGGUGUGUGUUCCCUCCAUUGUUUCACGUGGCCAGACCCAUAUGUACUGAGCCCGUCUGAGAGCCUUGAGAACAGGUAAGACAGGCCCUUUGUCUUCAGAGCCCACAAAGCAUUGGGGGAGGCAGAUCACAAAAAACCCUCGGCCACAGGCAGAUAAGCGCUCCCAGGGACAGCCAGGCAAGUGGGUGCUUAAGGAAGGAGGCUUCAGAGGAGUUGACAAUGAACUGAAUCUUGCUAAUAGAAUUGGAUUUUCCAGGAAGGCAAGGAAAGGGAAAGGGUAUGGCCUCUACCUAGAGGUGUAGAAGGGAAUGACGUGUUUGGAGAACUGGUCAACCUGAGCACAACAGGGGAAUGUGGUCUUUCCAGGGCCUUGGGAAUCCAUAUUGAGUCCCUGUCCUGAAUUAGUGCUCAGCAUCUCCAGGUGGCAGUUGAUCAUAUCAGGACAGGAGUAGACGACACCUGGAUUGUUCCCUCCAUGCUCCCACCUAUUCCCUAGGAUACCCAUUGUUUUUCUACUUUGAGCAGAAAGGCCAAGACCGGGAUGUUUACAUGAGCUGAGUCUGCAGAAUUAAAUUCCAGACUUCUCCAAAAAAGAAGACACGACAACUGCUGGCAGCUUCCUGAAAGUCUGAGAUCAGAGGAAACUUUGACCUAGAGAGGAGGAAGAGGAGGACAUCUAGUUGAGAUUGGGUCCCAGCUAAGGGGUUCCUCAACACUUGGCUUCUAACACAGAGACCUCAACACUAGUGGAGGAAAUUAUCUUUAAUAUAUUUAUUAGGGUGUAACUUAAC